UGGGUAACCCAAGCCUCGGCAGGUACAGUUCCUCCCUCAGGGCCCAGGACACAGAGAGCAUACAAUAGACAUUAGCUGCUGUGGUCUCUUGAUUUCAAGCCCAGUGCAGAUGCAUCUGACUUAUGAAACUUCAGUGACACCUGCUCUGUGCCAGACACCGAAGAUGGAGCAGUGAACAGCGCUGACCCAGCCUGUCCUCCUGUUGCCUGCAGGCCAGAUGCUGUUCCAUUGUUUGCUGACUUGCAUCGUUUCUAUGAGAAGUCUGCAGUCUUUUGCAGCAUUGUUUUCCUAUGUAUGCUUGUCUCCUCCCACCCCACUCACCCCAGCUGCUUUCCACAUUCUCUCUCUUUAAUUUUCAGCAGUCUGCCCAUGAUGUGCCUAAAUAGGACUUUCUUUGCAUUCAUCCUGGCUGGGGCUCACUGAACUUUCUGAAUCUGUAGAUUAAUUUUCUUUUUUCAAUAAACCUUGGAAU
rnacentral:lncRNA from 1 species